GGGGAGCUCUCUGAGCUGCCUCCAUGGAAGGCGGUAGUGAGAAGAGCGCUUUUCGGUAGGAGAAAGUGGAGGUAGAGUAGCAGGAGACACCAGAAAGAGUCUUCCAACCUUGGAUCCAACCUUGGAACCCGCCUGCUGGCCAGAUCCGGAGCUCCUCUGACUUUGAGCAGAGUAGCCUCUAGAGGGCGCGCUGGCCCCGCGCACCAGGACGCAGCUGUACGGCCCCAGGACUCCUUCCUCUCACCGAAUAGGAUCCGAUUUAGCACAAUCCGUAGUUAAACACGUGAGAGCCUAGCACAUGGUAGUACCCACGAGCAGCCGGGCUUCUGGCCAGGAGUGGCUGGCAGAACCUGGAGCUGAGAACAACAUCUGCCUCUAGCUCCAGGGUGCAAGGAGCAGGAGGCAGAGCGUGCCUAACGCAGGACAUGGUAACGUUCCCUACUGUGCCAGCUAAGAGUCCAGGGUUGAAGAGGCAGGAGGGAGGUCUCAGGAGCGCUUUGGAUCGUAACGUGGAUUCUGACCUGAAACCUGCAAAGAACAAACCUUUACAGGCCCCAGACAGUGAGACGUGUAUGGAGACGACAAAGGCAGCUUUCAGCUGGGCCACCCUCAUCCACACUCCCAGAGGGUCCAAGUCACUGCGUUGGCUCCUUGGAGACCUGUCUGUGCUGAGAUUAGAAAGCCACCAACCACCCCUCCCCAGCCAUGACUCUCAGACACAGCCCUCAGAAACAGAAUUCCCUGGCCCCCAUCUUCUCUGCUCACACGUCGACACCCAUGCCACCUGACUGCUCCUUUCUACCUUGGGCGUAUUCACUGGACCGUCUGUCUGACAGCGUCCCUCCUACUUAGGGUUAGUGUUGCUGUGAUGAAACACCAAUGACCGAAAGCAAAGUGGGGAGCAAAGGGUGUCAUUUGGCUUGUUCUUGCACAUUGUGGUCCCAUCACUGAAGUCAGAAAAGGGACUCAAGCAGGACAGGAACCUGAAGGAAGAAACUGAUGCAGAGGCCAUGAAGGAGUGCAGCUUUCUAACUUGCUCCUCCAUGGUCUGCUCAGCCUGCUUUUUUAUAGAACCCAGGACUACCUUGCCCAAGGAUGGCACCACCCACAAUGGGCUGGUGUUAAUCUCAAAGAUGGAAGGAGAAAGACCCCCGACCCAAUUCAUCAUGGUCAAAUUAAUUAAAGCAAGCAAUAAUUAAAGC
rnacentral:lncRNA from 1 species